AUUCAGUUUUCAUUUCCAAACUGUCAGUCCCUGAUGUCAUUUAAGCAAGUCUGCAACAAGAAAUCUAAUUCAAUCAUAGGAAAGGCAAAUCUUAUUAAACAGAGGAAGCCUAAGCAUACAGCCGAAUUUGGUUCAUGUACUCCGACAGAGGCAAGGACAAGCAAGAGUGGAAACGGAAAAGCAUUGAAAAUGUGUACAUUGAACUCAAACACUUGUUCCUGCUCCUAGACAAAGCAGGUAAAGGAUUUUGUUGCUUGAAACGGUUCCCAUGUAUCCUGCCAAUAGUCGAACUCAUGAGCAUUCAUCUAAAUUAGCCAAAACCAAAUGGUAGCAGUUGAUUUCAUUAAAGUUAAUAUGUGAAGCAGUACUGUAGAUUUAGAUCUUUAAACUGCAACCAUCAGGGAGGCAACUCAGCAACAAAGGGGAGCUGUCUCAGUAGAAAACAAACCUCUAACCUUUUGGGAACAAACUCAAACAACCCUGAGGUAAAAUAAGGCAUAAGAGGAUAACCUUUAACAAUACCGUUAACCUUAAACUCCACUUAGAUCUUCUCCAGGUAAAUCUCCCAGGGCAUCUAAAGAGAUUGAAAGUUAGAUGAAGACAGCUGCCAAUGCUGUUAUUUAUUGUAAGUGCAAUUACUGAUGUUUUACAAUGUUUUUUCUGCUUUACUUUGAAUUUAAUGUUUUGCUGUGCGGCACCAUUAGGACAAGUUACUUUCUAAUUAAAAAACAGAAAUGCCAACAGACAUGUAUGGUUGGGGCUGCCAAGUCUUCUCAAAAGAAAAAAAAACAAAAAGAGAUUUAUUGACCUUGUUUCAGUUUUCUCUCCUUUCUUUCUCUAAGACUUUAGAGGAAGUGUUGGACUCCAUGGUAACGUCUCAUCUUCUCACCAUUCGGCGAAUGAUCCUCGCUCCCUCUUUGAUACACGGUAUGUUCGUAGAAAAAGCCUGGAAAAAUCUGAAUUCCAGGGCAAGCUUGCCACAUCUGGGAAUUCUGUUCUCACUAGAUGUAUUUUUUCAGAUUCGAAUGCUUUCUCCCUCCUGAAAUCUGGUGGCAGGGGAGGUGUAAUGUUUUCAGCCGAGUAUAGGUUCAAGAAGUCACGGUCAUCUGGGAAAUAUCGUACAUAAAGGUAAAAUGAUUGGCCUCAAAAAGAUUCCAGGAUGCAUGUACAAAGAGGCCUCGAGACUGGAAGUCAUCACUGGGGGGCUCAUUAAAACCAUUCCUCUUCAGGGAAUCAACAAAAACAUGUGGCCUGCUUUUCUCUCUCCAAUCUUAAGUCAGUGUUGUUACAUACAGCAGCUUGAAGCCACUACAUUAUUUGUGCAAAACCUGGCCUGGUCAACACUGGAUGAUUUCACCAGCACAGCCAAGAAAUGCACUCUGUAAUGCUUCUUAAGCUAAUCAAGUCUGCCAUGCUUUAUAUUUGCAACCAGUGGAUAUAAAGCAAAGUCGCUUGCCAGCAAACAAGAUGAGUCUUGGCUCUGCUAUGUUUUGCUGUGAGUUAUAAAUGCCUGACCCACAAACCUGACCCAAUAUAGAAUGCAAGUUAUGUUUCUGUGUUGAUUUACAGAUGUUGUGUUGCUUAAGUGUCAUUAUAGCGGAGGCACAUUCAUGGUAAGCACCCACAGUAAGUGGAUCCUCAUUGGCUGUGUAAUGUAUGGACAAUAUUACUAAGAAUGUCGAUACAGUGUGGCUGUUAGAGGUCUAUGUGAUGCAUUUUUCACAAUCACGUUGUGUUUUAAACCUGCGUUAGCCAUGUUUUUAAAAGGUUGUGUGCAGCAGCAACACUGAUGUUGCGAUCAACAUGAGUGUAAAUGAUGAAAUGGUUAGCUUGCAGAAUGUAACAACACCCAUAUAUGAUAUAAAAAAACAGACAAGACUAUCAGCAACAGGAUUGUUGAUUUUUAUACUGUAAAUAUUUAAUGCCUAAAACUGAUAUGCAAAGACUGCUCUGACCACGGGAGGUGCUAAUCAUUUACAGUCAUCUUAACAUCACAUAACAAAUAAUAACUACUGAGAAAAGGAAAUUUCAAACAAAACUCAACAGGGUAACAGUUUAUUAAAACAUGUUUUUAUUUAUCAUGUAUCUUAAAUCUCUGCUUUGACCCAUGUUCCAUCUGUCAAGAAGGUAGGGUCCAUGACCUACUGUACACUCUAGCUGGUCAGCAGGGGGGGGCUCCAAAUAUUUGGCCACAUAGCCUGUAAACGUCCACGGUGUCAGUGUUUGUAAGCUUGUAAACAAGAUUAAAAUUAGAAUCGGCACAAGGAAAUGGUUAGCUCACAGGAUGUAGCUACAUUGGAAUUUGUUAACCUGCUUUUUAAUUUUAUAUUUAAAAAAUGUUCCAUCCACAGAUUUCUGAAUCCACUCUUUGGCAGCUAAUGUUUCACUUUAUGUCUCCUUGCUUUGGUAAUUUUGCUGCUCGUAUUUAAACUUUUUGUGUUAUUGCUUAAAAUCAUUUUCUGCUACGUUCAAAGAAGACACUGUGGGAAUGUGGGGAACCAAGACAGCAAUGUUGGACUAGAUGGGACUGACAAACACCACGACUCUCUGCAGAGUUGAGUAGAAAUUUGGGAAGAUAAUAAUCUCUGUGCUUUUGUUUUUUCAUUAUAACUUCAAGCAAGGGCAAACUGCUAUAGACCUCUCUCUCCAGCUCUAGCAUUUUGUUUUAACAGAUUUAAUAAAUCCAUCCUCUUGUGUAACUUGUAAAUAGUCAAACCAUCUUUUUUUUUGUUUUUGUUUGUUUUUUAAGAUGUCCCAUUGUUUUUGUAAGCCUUAUGGUGCAUAUUGUCCUCUCUGGGUUUAAACUUGCAGCUGCCAAGUGACCAUGCAACAUUUGUUGAAAUGCUGCAGGGGAGGACAAACAGAAAAAUAAAACAAUUUAUGUCCAGAGUAGCAGCACUAUAGUCCGGAUGUUUCUGAGGUUGAGGACAUGACAAAACACUGUCAUUAGGCUCAUGCUCACUGUCACAGACUCAAGAGCUUGAGAGCUCAAAACAACAAACAGACACAGAUCCAUGUACUGUGGACAUGGUAUUAUUCCUUUGCCACUUUUUCAGCCAACCACCUGCUUCUUUGUUAACUUGCCAGACUCUUCAUAGAUGAAAUAAUCUUCGGAGACGAGAGGGCUUUUACUAUACCCAACAUGAUACCAGCUAGCGCCUGCUGAAAAUCAAUUUGCUGCCAGAUUAUUGCACCAAAGAGUCAGAGAAAACAAACAAAUACUUAUUUCCAUAAUUAAUCAAGUGCUCAUGGAAGUGCUUCACUUUUCCUUGUAGACAGAGAUAAGCUGUUGUUGUUGCGGAAUUUCAAUUUUGGCAGCAAGAUACAGUACAAUGAAUGCACCACACUGUUGUCUUAAAUAAAAGUUAUUCAGCCUUUUUAAAAGGUCUUCCCGGGGUUCAUGCACUGUUUUGGUCAAAUUUUAUAACUAAUGCAUUUUUGACCCUCUGGCAAUAUUUAUUUACUGACACAUUCUGUAUUUAUUCUUUUUUUUUUCAUCUCUCAUACGAAAGCAUCACAACAUAAAGCACACAGGAUUCAGUGACGGAUUGGUUUGAAUUAUUAUCCGUCACCUUUUUUUCUCUCUCCUUCAGAGUUUUAGUGUUUUAUUCAGUCUCUCACCCUACAUGCAUGCGUGGUCUUUGGCACUCAAUACUUUGGCUUUGUUUUUUUUCUGGCAGACAUGCAUCAACACAUUUUCAUCUUUAGCUUUCUGAUUGUUAGGUCCCAAGAAAAUUGUGUUGGAGAGAACCCUGAAGGUAAACAACGCAAAUCUGAGGGCUCCACCCCCGCAGUCCUCCUUCUGUAAGGUGCUCCAUUUGUCUUUCAGAAACCUCAGAGAAACACACUGAAAACAGGGCAAUUUUAGGGGGGAUGUUUCUGAAUGAUUGGUAAGUAAAGUCAGCAUUCAUCGGGGACCAUGUAUAGGACAAAUCAUGACCUGAAUACUACAUAAAUCAUACCUCUUCUUAUCAUAUCAUUCACACCUGCGUGCAAACAUUUCAGCCACUUUCACACCAUAAACAGACUGUCAUUAUCCAUUAUCUCUAUCUCACACAUUGAAAAGAAAUGGGUUUGUACACACUGCGAAUGAGAACAGAAAAUAAGCUGAUUUCAAGCUGUUAAAAAGCUGUUACCAUAAUUUGAUACGAAAUUGACCACCAAAAUGAAUUUAAAUGAUAUGUGCGUGAAUGUUUUCCCAGAAAAGAGAAAAAAGUCUCAGGCAGCUGCACCUUUUCUGACCUAUAAUAAUAUCAAGGUGUUUGUAAACCUGUAUGCUACGGUUUGUUAAGGGUCUGAAUUCACACAUACACUGCACUUCUAAAAACUUGUAAAUAAACAUAUUUCCUGAUAAGCCUCCUGAUACAAUGUUGGUGUGAAGCAUAGACUGUAUGUAGAAUGGUCGUCAUCCUCCUCCUCAUUGGGUGAAACCUCCGUGAGAACAGCACCCUCUGGUGACUGGUUGCAGUAUAGGUCAUAAACUAAAAGGAGAGCGGUCGUCCAAUAACUGCAAGGCUGGCGCUUGGAUUUCCCCCUAUCCCAAGUCUAUCUGUUGUGUCCUUGGGCAAGACACUUAACCCACCUUCCUCCCAGUGUAUGUCCUCCACUGGUGUUUGAAUGUGAGUGUGUUGUGUGGUGGUGGUCGGAGUCGCCAUAGGUGCGAACUGGCAGCCACGUUUCCAUCAGUCUGCCCUAGUUAGCUGUGAGUACUAAGAUUGUUUACCACCACCAAGGUGUGACUUUGUGAGCAAAUGAAUGAUGUAUCCAAUGUAAAGCGCUUUAAGGGUCUCUGAUAAAGCGCUAUAAAAAUCAGAUGCAUUGUUAUUGUUAUAAAAAUGGGAAAUUACAUCAUAUUUUCAAUUAUUCAUAUUUGCAUUCAGUCAAUGGGUGUAAAAAAUUGCGUAGGACAUCUGGAGGAUUUGCUGUUAAAGCAGAGCGUCAUUACAGCGAUUCUCUCUUUCAAGUUGUCCAUACUGUAUACAUUCUAGGGUGUGACGUUGGGGUGAGCUCAUGAUAAAAAGCAGCAGGUUAAGGCAGCAUGAAAUUCUCAACAAUCAAGUAGAUACGAGUGUUGACAUUUAUAUCAUGCAUUCUGUGCCAAAAGAAAAAAAAGAUUAAAGGGUGAAGGGAGAGAAUCAUUUUAAAAACAAAAACACAGGUAUAGAUGUCUGUCCUUGAAGAUAGCAUUAACAUAAAUGUGAAAACUAUAACUGUGGUGUCAAAUUCUCUUUUAUAGACUACUGUAAAUCUGUUUGGAUUUCAUAUUGUGAUUUAAUCCCAUGUCCUGUCUCCUGAGAUUCCUCAAUGCUUUAAGGACUUGUGUAAAGAAGACACUCUGGAAAUUUUUAGGAGCAGAGCAAAUCCUAGAAAAUCCUCAUAUCUACCAGUAUUGCCUUAUGUCAACAUGUAGUGUUUUAAAAAAAAUAAGGCUAAGCAUGAUCUGUAUUUCUUAUUGUCAAAAAUACCUGUGAUAAGCUAAUCUCAAAUAAUUCCUCCCUAUACAUCCAUGGUUGUCCAAAUAUGUCAAAAAACACCAAGAUGAGGCAUUUUAAAGACAUUUUUUUUUCUGUGACGAACACCCACAAAACCUUUCUUGACUUAAUUCUGCAUUAGUAAUCCCACUGCAUACAACAGCUCCUUCAGAGAAUAGUGUUAUUCCACUGCUGAAAAUAGUCCCAGACAAAUAUAGGGCACCCUCUACUCCUGUCUGAGCAAUACUAUAACUGUGCCUCGCUACUACAACGUGUUUCUGAGCAGUUUUUGGUGCUUAAAGGCGCAGCAGGGUCAGACAGUGUGGAGAAAUUGACUCAUACCUUAUGUGGCUUGCAUUUUCCUCUGGGGUCUAUUACUGACAAGAAAAAUAUAGAAUUUUUCAGUCCUGUGUAUCAGAAAAAAAAAUCAACUAUUCUGUGUUUGAUUAUCGGUAAGAAACACUUUGGUAUUUCCAGCUUUGUUCAGUGUCAGGCAGUUGAGCUUUUGUCUGCUUGUAUCGAAUUUGCCGCCUGUGGUGAGAAUUGGACCAAAAGACGGUGAAACUCAGCAUUGGAUAGAUAGUGCCCAAGGACAUUUCAAACUCUGAUAAUGAAGUUACAGUUAAGUUGGUACAUUGAGUAUUGAUUAAUUUAGAGUCUUGGACUCUGGGUUAUUUUCCAUUGUUGACAUGUGAGGUCUUUUUAAAACCUUGUGGAAAAAUAUCUGCACACUCACCUUAGGGGGCCGGAGACUGUCCAUCCUCUCCCAUAUAAAAUUUUUACAUGACCCCUUUGCCAUCUUUAUACAGUAAAAACUUAAAAUAUCUAUUUCAGACAUGUGGAACUAUCCUCAGGUUUGUUUAAAUCGUGCUUAUAUCACAGUUAAGUUGUACAGAUGUAGCUUUUGUGCCAUCAGGGUCAUAAAAAGUUUAGAAUAUCUUGGCAGUGUAAACAUAAGCCUACACAGACCAUGUGCAGUGCUGAGUUAGUGCAAAACCCUGACAAAUGCUUACUCUGGAUGACAACAUUUACAUGAAUUCAGUGCAGAGAAGCCAUGCUGAUACAAUUUCAGAAAGUCCCGAGAAAAAUGUUCGGUACAUCCUUGACUUAUAUUUGGACCCAGGCAAUCAAUAGGAACCGAAUUAUGAGGCAGUGAAGCGAGUGAUUUUAAUCUGGGACUAAAUAUCCAGUAGUGGAUUAGUUUCAGACAAUUUCAUACCUCCAGAGCUCUUCAUGAAAUAUGGAUAAGGCAGGAGAGAGGGAGUGAGGGGGGAUUAUGAAAAAUAAAGGCAUUUCCCCAAACCUCCUCCUCCGUCGAUGGAGGCCAGAUGAAAAGUUUUGCAGAUGGGCAGCUGGAGGAUUUUGAGCCACUUUGCAUAGCAGAUGCACCGUCUCCCACAGCCUCGAGUUUGGGCACCAGUUUAAUUAGAAAGCCCCCCUGGAAAGAUACCUUUCAGCAGUGAUAGUGCAGCUCCUAAACAUACCCAGAUUUCGCCUCACAGUGGGAAGUCUCAUGGUCAUUGGCACUGAUGAGCGCUGGGUGUGAAGAAAAACAAAGAGAUGAGAAGCAAAGAUGUGAAAAGGGUAAUUUACAUACUGGAAUCAUUAACACAAAUCCACCCUGUUCUGUAGUCAUUUACUUUGAAAUGUUAUUAGCAUCGUGAUCUGGGGCACCAGACAUGAAUUUGUUAAGAUACCCAUUUAGUUUAUUACGAUAUUCAAAACUCAGACCCAUUUUAAAUUAAGAUGAUGUCUUUGUUUUUCAUGAAUUGAGUCUGAAAAUCUUCUUCACAUGUUGAAUCAGACGGUCUUAAAUAAUCUGCUUUAGUUACGUCUUCAUGAUGGAUGAGAUUUAAUGUACUAAAGGGCUAAAGAUGAAGAAAUCAGACCUAAUGCCACGAAACAAACUGCAAAUUUCCCUUUAUUUGGAGUCUUUGAUGAAAAUCAGCAGGGAUAAAGCCUCAGGGAUGAACACUUUGACUUUUUAAGCAGUCUAUACCUGUAUUCCAAUGUAACCUAAAACCUUAAUCUGCUUUAUUUAGUAUUGAUUUAUUCAAAUUGGUCCAUCUUAGUUUAAAUCAAUGCUCCACCCUCAAAUUGAUGCACCAAUGUUUCUCUAAAGCCCCGUUGUGGCUAGAAAUGAUUUAAAAGGUUCUUUUUUCUUUAAUGUUUGUUUCUUAUCUUUGUUUACCCUCCUUGCCUUUUCCUUUGGGCUAUUUUCUACUGUAAACUCUUAGAUUAAAGUUUAUUUUGGCAUUAUCUGUAGGCGGCCCUCCAUGCAUUUAAUCUCUAACUGCUGGGUGCCAGUGCAUUUUUACAAACUGAUUACAGCCUGUCUAUUCAUCUUUUAUCGCUUCAGAGGCUCUGGAGCACAGUAGGUUCUGCUAAAGCACAAAUCACCAGCUGAACUCAUAUUAGUCCUAUUAUGUCUUUUUAGGACUGAAAACAGGAACAAAUGUGGGACAAAAGCUGAACCCUGCAGAUGUCAAGAACCUCAUGAAUCAAAGCCUGGAGAUGCUUAAAAGCACAGCUAAUUUAUGGGUUUGUAUUUUUGCAAAAAGAAAACAGUUUGUUUUGUUUUGGCCACAGACAGGACGCUCUUUACCAGGGUCUACAACCAAUGCUACAGUUUUAUUAUUUGUCCUUACACCACAUCCAAAACUCCACUCCACCAUCCUUGCAGACUAGGUGAGUGCAUAACCAGGAUAUUGUAAACUGAAUUUAUACCAUUUUCAGGCACAUGAAAGGAAUGACAAUGUUCAGCAGUAAUGUUUCUGUGAAUAAUAAUUAUCCUCUCAUGGUGACCUUGGUUGAAUAGGUAGGUAUAGGAUAAAGGAAAAUCUUUCAAAUCUGGAACCAGAAAGGACUACAAGCAACAUUCAAUAUUGACCAAAAUGUAAGGCUUUCAUGAAUUCAGAGGAGGAAGGUUACCAUGUUUAUGUUGCUAGUGAAUGUCAGAACUCUACAUGCACUCAUGGUGAAGUGUUUUAUUUCUUUAACAAUUAGGCAUUAAGAAUGUGAAAUACUGACAUCGAAGUGGGCAUAAAAAUUCCACAACUGAGAUGAUGAAGUGUUAGCUAAAAAAUGCGAAGCAAUUAUGUUCAGAGGUUUUUAACUUAUUGUAGCUUGGACGACUGGCCUCGAUUGAAGUCCGAACUCUCUUGAAUUCCUGUCUUAUUCUUCGACAUUAUGAUCAGCGGUCGCAAUUGCUCUUUUGAUUUCAUCAAAUGACUGCAGUGAUUCCCCCACAGCAGCACUGACGAGCACAUAUCUCCAUCAAUGACUUGAAACUUGAGGUCUGGAGGCUCAACUACAACAGUCUUGAUUGUUCUUUUUCUCUCUGUUACCAGUUUUAGCUAUUCAUUUUUUUUUUUUUGCUUUUGUAAUAAAUUAAAGGCAGAAAGCUGUGGUAGGAUCACUACCCUCUAAUAAAUGAGUUAUUUAUGUGAAUGUUGCUGUUUUUUCUCUCUGUCUUGGUUGGAUAUAAAACAUCUGACUGUUCUCCUUUGGGGUAGUGGUGAAAUGAGCUGUUUUUGAAAUCUAAGAAUAUCCCAGACUUUUACAGACAUGAAAAAAGCUGCAGCUGACUAAGAUGUAAGUUUGUGAUAGAUUUAUUUUUGAAAAAUAACCCCGCAUCAGUGGAUGCCUGUCAGGUUAAUUCAAAUCCCCCACGAGAGGGAAUGUGCUGUCUAUGUGCUCUCCGUGAGUGAAUCAGUGCUGACUUUAAGAACUUCACCUUUCCAACAAAAAGAGGUUUUAAAGUGCUGUGGUGGCAGAGUGUUGCUGUAACUAAGAGAAUUGGUAAGCAAAAUAUAUAAUUCAUGUGUUGACUCAGUUGGUUUAGUUAUAAAAUCACUAAGCUUCUUCCUGGUGUGUGGAUGUACUGUACUCCAGCUACCAUACCGCCUGGUGUACGGGUGCAGACUGUUUUUCUUGUAUUAUUACUCAUCUAAGCAGAACCCAGCUCCUCCUGCUGUGCUCCCUCUGAGCAAAAAACAGCGUUAAAAAUCACAAGUGAAUGACAUUCAAAGGAUUAGCAAAGACGAAGAUCUUAAUGGUUGAUUUGAAAACAGUCUGAAAGUGAAAAUCUUCCAGAUCUUCAUCUGGCUUUGCUUCUCAGAGCGUGAGAUUAGACAGUAAUACGAUCCUUGAUUGUGAACAUGAAAAUAAGGAAGCCUGAUACUUAUCACCAGGAGACUGAAAGCUACAAGAUAGCAGCAAAUCAUAUCUGUGAUAAUCAGAGUGUUAAACUGACAAGUGUAAUAAUGGAGUAAAGCUUUGGACCAAAUCUGCAGGGACUGUGUGAUUCAGGUAGGCGAUUGUUAUGUGACAAUAACAGUGUACGACCAAUAAUGCGUAAUGUUUUGAAAAAUUAGAGGAAUACUUGAACAAUCUUGAAAAAGUGCACUCUUACCUCCUUGGUCAGCAGCUGGUUAGCUUAGCAAAAAGGCUUGAAAUGGGUGAAAAGGCUGAAUUGGAAAGACUCGUACAACUUAUUUUCCAGUUGACCCCAGCGACAAAAAAGUGAGGCUGAGGUGGGCCUAAAACUUCCCUGCACAUGGCCACAUGACACCCUCAAAUCAAAUCAAAUCAAAUCAAAUUUUAUUUAUAUAGUACAAAAUCACAACAGUCAUUAUCCCAAGACACUUUCCAAAAAAAAAAAAAAAAGAGCAGGUCUAGACUACGCUUAUUGUUUGAUGAAUUACCAAGACCCAACCAUAAGAUGGGACAGAUUUGACCCAUCUCAUCUAACAUGAGUGACAGUGGCAAGCAAGAACUUCCUUUUCCAGGCAGAAACCUUGGGAAGGACCAGACUCAUGUUAGACAGCCACCUCCCCACUGCUGACUUGGGGAGAAAUACAAGGAGAUAGGGAGGGAGAGAGGGAGAUAGAGGGGAGUAGGAGGGAGGGCAGAGGGAGAGAAAGAGAAGACCCUCCUGCCUCUCUUUAACUCCGCUUUGCCCCUAAUAAUCAUAGGCUCGGUAAAACAUGGACAAAGUGUCAGUAACGCUGCCCAAUGACCGAUCAGGCACUAUAUUGGAAAUGUUGACUCAACCAAACUUGUAGCAGACUUUGGAGGUAACAUUGAGGAGGUGGGCUUUCAGCCUCCCUCCAAAUAAACACAAAGAACUAUUAUCCUGUUAAAGUCAGCUGUGUAUUUUGUUAUGCCUCUUCAAUUAAAAAUAAAUGCACUGAAAAAAUUCAGCCCCCUCAGAGUGUGGGCCUACAGUGGAAUAAGAUACUCAGACCAAAAUUGGAUUUUGAACCAGGAUUUGAAUAUACACAUUUUACUGUAAGAGUGGGCUUCUUUUGAAUGAGUAUGUUAUGUGGUUUUCAGGGCUUUUGCAGCAAGCCUCAAGUGGACACUGGAGGAACUACAGUUUCUGGCACUUUUGCAUUGUUGUCUUACAAGUGGAGAUUGCUGCUUAGUAAUUAUUUUUGCACAUAGCCUGUCUGUUUUGUAUAUAUUCAAAACAGACAGGCUUUUAUAAAGUCCAACCAUCUGCAAUGUGUAUAAAUAAAAAAAGAGCAAUAUGCUGCAAACAUAUUUACCUGGGCUAUAAAAAUGGACCUUAAGUUGAGUGUUAAUGAGGAUUUCUUGGCUUUUACAGCAAGCCUCAAGUGAACGCAGUUUUUUUUGUUUUGCACACGUGUGAGGUUGGAUCCUGGUUAAAUCAUGCAUCACAUGCACACCCUUAGCUGCGUGUCUAUGUUCACCAUUCAUGCCCCACAUUUCCUGCCUGUCUUCAGUUGUCAUAAUUGAUAAGGGUAAAAUGCAUGAAAAAAAAAAAAAGUUUUUAAAGACAGCUGUCAGACUAUAAAGAUUUUGGCUUAACAUCUAACCAUAUAGAUAUGAGAGUCUGUUACAAACCAGAUCUCAAACAUGCCCCUGCAAACCUGUACACACUGCUUUAAUGUUUUCUAUCUACAAAGUAACAUCAUAAAUGUUUAGUUUAGCAGUAUUAAAAGCACUUUUCCUAAACAGUUCUCCUUCAGGUGCUGUUGUUAAAUUUGCGUCCUCUGAUGUAGUGGAACAGCUCUUUGAUAUAUGGAGUGUCUGUGUGCUGCUUCGGUGCUUUACUAACUAGAGAAGUUGGGAUCUAGACAGCUUCAGGCAGAAAGCUACAUACUGUAUGUGUGUGUGUGUGUGUGUGUGUGUGUGUGUGUGUGCGCGCUUCUGUGUGUGUGAGUGUCCCAUUUCAAUGUGUGUACCUAAAUACCUGCUUAAGCGCUUCAAGAGGAGCCAAAGUCUCCCGGAAAUGGGAGACCUGACAAUUUUUUGGUGUGAUAGAUCUUCUCCCCUCCUCUCCUCUCCACCAUAAGUACAUGGGUAUGCUCUCCAACAUGUAACCUUUAAUUAUUUUCCAUACUUAUGUGCACAAAUACACAAAAAUUCUUAUUAAAGGGAUAAACUUACAAAUCACCGCUUGAA